CCUACGGGUGGCAGCAGUGAGGAAUAUUGGUCAAUGGACGAGAGUCUGAACCAGCCAAGUAGCGUGAAGGAUGACUGCCCUAUGGGUUGUAAACUUCUUUUAUAUGGGAAUAAAACGUUCCACGUGUGGGAUUUUGUAUGUACCAUAUGAAUAAGGAUCGGCUAACUCCGUGCCAGCAGCCGCGGUAAUACGGAGGAUCCGAGCGUUAUCCGGAUUUAUUGGGUUUAAAGGGAGCGUAGGUGGAUUGUUAAGUCAGUUGUGAAAGUUUGCGGCUCAACCGUAAAAUUGCAGUUGAAACUGGCAGUCUUGAGUACAGUAGAGGUGGGCGGAAUUCGUGGUGUAGCGGUGAAAUGCUUAGAUAUCACGAAGAACUCCGAUUGCGAAGGCAGUUCACUGGACUGCAACUGACACUGAGGCUCGAAAGUGUGGGUAUCAAACAGGAUUAGAUACCCUUGUAGUU
rnacentral:rRNA from 1 species